UACGGAGGGUGCAAGCGUUAUCCGGGUUUACUGGGUUUAAAGGGUGUGUAGGCGGACUUUUAAGUCCGUGGUGAAAUCUCCGGGCUCAACCCGGAAACCGCCAUGGAUACUAUUGGUCUUGAAUAUUGUUGAGGUGGGCGGAACGGGUCAUGUAGCGGUGAAAUGCAUAGAUAUGACCCGGAACACCGAUUGCGAAGGCAGCCCACUAAGCAAUGAUUGACGCUGAGGCACGAAAGCGUGGGGAUCAAGCAGG
rnacentral:rRNA from 1 species